UGACGAGCGGCGGUCGGGUGAGUAAUACUUGGGGAUCUGCCUGAUGGCGGGGGACAACCACUGGAAACGGUGGCUAAUACCGCAUAAUGCCUACGGGCCAAAGUGUGGGACCUUCGGGCCACAUGCCAUCAGAUGAACCCAAGCGAGAUUAGCUAGUUGGUGAGGUAACGGCUCACCAAGGCGACGAUCUCUAGCUGGUCUGAGAGGAUGAUCAGCCACACUGGGACUGAGACACGGCCCAGACUCCUACGGGAGGCAGCAGUGGGGAAUAUUGGACAAUGGGCGCAAGCCUGAUCCAGCCAUGCCGCGUGUGUGAAGAAGGCCUUCGGGUUGUAAAGCACUUUCAGUGGUGAGGAAGGCCUUGUAGUUAAUAGCUGCAAGGAUUGACGUUAGCCACAGAAGAAGCACCGGCUAACUCCGUGCCAGCAGCCGCGGUAAUACGGAGGGUGCGAGCGUUAAUCGGAAUUACUGGGCGUAAAGCGCACGUAGGCGGUUUGUUAAGCAAGAUGUGAAAGCCCAGGGCUCAACCUUGGAAUAGCAUUUUGAACUGGCAAGCUAGAGUUUUGAAGAGGGUGGUAGAAUUUCCAGUGUAGCGGUGAAAUGCGUAGAUAUUGGAAGGAAUACCAGUGGCGAAGGCGGCCACCUGGUCAAAAACUGACGCUGAGGAGCGAAAGCGUGGGGAGCAAACAGGAUUAGAUACCCUGGUAGUCCACGCCGUAAACGAUGUCAACUAGUUGUUCGUGUCUUUAAGACGUGAGUAACGCAGCUAACGCACUAAGUUGACCGCCUGGGGAGUACGGCCGCAAGGUUAAAACUCAAAUGAAUUGACGGGGGCCCGCACAAGCGGUGGAGCAUGUGGUUUAAUUCGAUGCAACGCGAAGAACCUUACCAUCCCUUGACAUCCAGAGAAUUUUCUAGAGAUAGAUUAGUGCCUUCGGGAACUCUGAGACAGGUGCUGCAUGGCUGUCGUCAGCUCGUGUUGUGAGAUGUUGGGUUAAGUCCCGCAACGAGCGCAACCCUUAUCCUUAGUUGCCAGCACGUAAAGGUGGGAACUCUAGGGAGACUGCCGGUGAUAAACCGGAGGAAGGUGGGGACGACGUCAAGUCAUCAUGGCCCUUACGGGAUGGGCUACACACGUGCUACAAAGGCGCACACAAAGGGCAGCAAGCGCGCGAGUGCAAGCGAAUCUCAAAAAGUGCGUCGUAGUCCGGAUUGGAGUCUGCAACUCGACUCCAUGAAGUCGGAAUCGCUAGUAAUCGUGAAUCAGAAUGUCACGGUGAAUACGUUCCCGGGCUUUGUACACACC
rnacentral:rRNA from 1 species